AUUGAACGCUGGCGGCAUGCCUUACACAUGCAAGUCGAACGGUAACAGGUCUUCGGAUGCUGACGAGUGGCUAACGGGUGAGUAAUACAUCGGAAGGUGCCUAGUAGUGGGGGAUAACUACUCGAAAGAGUGGCUAAUACCGCAUGAGAUCUACGGAUGAAAGCAGGGGAUCGCAAGACCUUGUGCUACUAGAGCGGCCGAUGGCAGAUUAGGUAGUUGGUGGGAUAAAAGCUUACCAAGCCGACGAUCUGUAGCUGGUCUGAGAGGACGAUCAGCCACACUGGGACUGAGACACGGCCCAGACUCCUACGGGAGGCAGCAGUGGGGAAUUUUGGACAAUGGGCGAAAGCCUGAUCCAGCAAUGCCGCGUGCAGGAUGAAGGCCUUCGGGUUGUAAACUGCUUUUGUACGGAACGAAAAGCCCCGGGUUAAUACCCUGGGGUCAUGACGGUACCGUAAGAAUAAGCACCGGCUAACUACGUGCCAGCCGCCGCGGUAA
rnacentral:rRNA from 1 species